rnacentral:rRNA from 1 species
GGUUAAGUGAAUAAGGGCGCACGGUGGAUGCCUUGGCACUAGGAGCCGAUGAAGGACGGGACGAACACCGAUAUGCUUUGGGGAGCUGUACGUAAGCUUUGAUCCAGAGAUUUCCGAAUGGGGGAACCCAGCAUCUUUUAUAGGAUGUUACUUUCCAGUGAAUACAUAGCUGGUUAGAGGUAGACGCAGAGAACUGAAACAUCUAAGUACCUGCAGGAAGAGAAAGAAAAUUCGAUUCCCUGAGUAGCGGCGAGCGAAACGGGAAAAGCCCAAACCAACAAGCUUGCUUGUUGGGGUUGUAGGACUCCAAUAUGGUAGUCUUUUCAGAUAGUCGAAGGAUUUGGAAAAGUCCGUCAAAGAGGGUAAAAACCCCGUAGACGAAAUUUGGAAGGCACCUAGGAGGAUCCUGAGUACGGCGGAACACGAGGAAUUCCGUCGGAAUCCGGGAGGACCAUCUCCCAAGGCUAAAUACUCCCUAGUGACCGAUAGUGAACCAGUACCGUGAGGGAAAGGUGAAAAGCACCCCGGAAGGGGAGUGAAAUAGAACCUGAAACCGUGUGCCUACAACAAGUUAAAGCCCGUUAAUGGGUGAUAGCGUGCCUUUUGUAGAAUGAACCGGCGAGUUACGAUUAUCUGCGAGGUUAAGUCGAAGAGACGGAGCCGUAGCGAAAGCGAGUCUGAAUAGGGCGAAUGAGUAGGUGGUCGUAGACCCGAAACCAUGUGAUCUACCCAUGUCCAGGUUGAAGGUGCGGUAAAACGCACUGGAGGACCGAACCCACGUACGUUGAAAAGUGCGGGGAUGAGGUGUGGGUAGCGGAGAAAUUCCAAACGAACUUGGAGAUAGCUGGUUCUCUCCGAAAUAGCUUUAGGGCUAGCGUCAGAGUUAAGAAUGAUGGAGGUAGAGCACUGUUUGGACUAGGGGCCCAUCUCGGGUUACCGAAUUCAGAUAAACUCCGAAUGCCAUUCAUUUGUAUCUGGCAGUCAGACUGUGAGUGAUAAGAUCCAUAGUCGAAAGGGAAACAGCCCAGACCACCAGCUAAGGUCCCAAAAUAUAUGUUAAGUGGAAAAGGAUGUGGGGUUGCACAGACAACUAGGAUGUUGGCUCAGAAGCAGCCACCAUUUAAAGAGUGCGUAAUAGCUCACUAGUCGAGUGACCCUGCGCCGAAAAUGUACCGGGGCUAAACAUAUUACCGAAGCUGUGGAAUGCACGUAAGUGCAUUGGUAGGAGAGCGUUCUAAGGGCGUUGAAGGUAGAUCGUGAGGACUGCUGGAGCGCUUAGAAGUGAGAAUGCCGGUAUGAGUAGCGAAAGACAGGUGAGAAUCCUGUCCACCGUAUGACUAAGGUUUCCUGGGGAAGGCUCGUCCGCCCAGGGUUAGUCGGGACCUAAGCCGAGGCCGAAAGGCGUAGGCGAUGGAUAACAGGUUGAUAUUCCUGUACCCGUUGUUUUUGUUUGAGCAAUGGAGGGACGCAGGAGGCUAAGGAAUGCAGACGAU